rnacentral:misc_RNA from 1 species
AAGUCGUAACAAGGUUUCCGUAGGUGAACCUGCGGAAGGAUCAUUAACACGUAUCCAACGUUAAACAACCCUGUGAACUUUCAACCCCGCCGGAAUGAGAUUAAUUUCCAACUCCGGCGAAGACAAGUGACCUGGCACCUGACCUCAUCAAAGCUCUGACAGCGUGCCUCUGGAUGCUUAAUGGAAGGGUGACGCAGUAACGAUCGCUGGAGGCCCACACGGCCGGCGACCGGGUCAGCGGCAUUCUUUAAUGCCCCUUAAAACCACUUAACAUGACGACAGUUCCUCUUGAGCUAUAACAAAAAACUAAUACAACUGUUAACAAUGGAUAUCUUGGUUCUC